rnacentral:lncRNA from 1 species
AUGCCUCAUCCCCACAUCCAGUGGCUUAGGUUAGGUAUCCAGUUCGCACAAACCAGAUUCCACGUCAGAUUCCUCAACAGAUUUUCUCUAGAAAAUGACUUUUGGCAUCAUAAUCAGUGGCAUUUUCCCUUUUGGCUGUAUUUUUAUUCAACUCUUUUUCCUUCUGAACAGUGUUUGGAACAGUCGGAUUUUUUUCCUGCUUCUGUUUUAUUAUCAAAAUCUACAGUGUGGUGAAAGUGGAUUAAAGAAUGUCCCCAGAGGCUUCCAGGCACAUCACCCUUGCUUUUGAAUAUACAUCUGUAUCUAUAUGAACAUCUAUAAAGAUACAUAUGUAUGCUUCCAAUUGCCUGUUUUUAAUAUAUAUCAAUUGGAAAAUCUCAUUGUCUGGCCUCAGUUUGUGUAACACAACACACUGAUUGCAUGCAGAAAACCAGGUUGGGAAAUAGCUUUAUUCUAAGUCAUAUUUUCCUGAAAUGAUACUAUAAAAGGGUUUGAUUUAAAGGAAUUAGAGCAAGGGAGGCACAUUUAUUUAAGAAAUUAAAGUGCAGUGGUUUUUCAGAUGAAGAAUUUUUCUUUUUUUCUUCCUCAUUUAUUUAGAGCAUCAGAACUAUUGUCAAAUAAAUUUUAGGUAAAACGUGAACUUUUUUUUUUU